AACCUGGUUGAUCCUGCCAGUAGUCAUAUGCUUGUCUCAAAGCUUAAGCCAUGCACGUGUAAGUUCAAACUCUCGUACAGUGAAACCGCGAAUGGCUCAUUAAAUCAUACGUGAUUUGCAAGAUAAUAACUGACGGCGUCCUUCGGGGCCCAAAGAUGGAUAACUGUGGUAAUUCUAGAGCUAAUACAUGCAUUUCAGCCUCGAGGGCGCAAGCCUGACGGGUGCUCUUAUUAGACCAAGGCCAAGCCGUGCGGGGCAACUCGUGCGGUCGGUGUUAAGGUGACUCUGGAUAAUCUCAGCUGAUCGCAGAAUACCUGUAAUGGGUAGCGACGUAUCUUUUAAGCGUAUGCCCUAUCAUGUUGUUGGUAAGGUAAUGGCUUACCAAGCAAGCAACGGGUAGCGGGGAAUCAGGGUUCGAUUCCGGAGAGGGGGCCUGAGAAAUGGCCACCACAUCCAAGGAAGGCAGCAGGCGCGUAAAUUACCCAAUGCCGGCACGGCGAGGUAGUGACGAUAAAUAACAAUACGUGACUCUUUCGAGGCCACGUAAUUGGAAUGAGUUGAUUUUAAAUCCCUUGACGAGGAUCAAUUGGAGGGCAAGUCUGGUGCCAGCAGCCGCGGUAAUUCCAGCUCCAAUAGCAUAUAUUAAAGUUGCUGCAGUUAAAAAGCUCGUAGUUGGAUCUCGGGUGCCCGUAAGGGUUGAAUGUUCCUCCGGCGGUCGUGCUCACGCGCGAACUGCUGGUGGCAGCCCAAUUCUGCCGAUUUGUCGGGUCGCUUCUCGGAGUGGCUCGGCGACGUGUCAAAGCGCGAGCCCGUUGUCCUUAACCGGGUGGUGGGUGAGGUCGGUAAUUUUACCUUGAGUAAAUUAGAGUGUUCAAAGCAAGGCUCCUCGAAUAGUUGUGCAUGGAAUAAUGGAACAGGUCUCAGCGCCUUUCCGUUGGUCAAUGGUGUCAGAGAAAUGAUUGAAAGGGACUGCCGGGGGCAUCGGUAUGGCGGGGGGAGAGGUGAAAUUCUUGGAUCCUCGCCAGACCAACAAUAGCGAAAGCAUUUGCCAAGAAUGUCUUCAUUAAUCAAGAACGAAAGUCAGAGGCUCGAAGACGAUCAGAUACCGUCGUAGUUCUGACCAUAAACGAUGUCAGCUAUGUCUGCGCGGCAGUUGUAUUACAUGACGCUGCGCGGGCCCCCCGGGAAACCCGUAAGCAUACGGAUUCCGGGGGAAGUAUGAACGCAAGCUUGAAACUUAAAGAAAUUGACGGAAGGGCACCACCAGGAGUGGAGCCUGCGGCUUAAUUUGACUCAACACGGGGAAACUCACCCGGCCCGGACACUGUAAGGAUUGACAGAUUGAGAGCUCUUUCUCGAUUCAGUGGAUGGUGGUGCAUGGCCGUUCGUAGUUGGUGGAGUGAUUUGUCUGGUUAAUUCCGAUAACGAACGAGACUCUAGCUUGCUAAAUAGUGCUGGCGGUGCGGUUGCCCCUCGGGGUACGUGGCCGUUGGUCUUGUUGAAACUUCUUAGAAGGACUAGUGACUCUUAGUCACACGAGAUUGAGCAAUAACAGGUCUGUGAUGCCCUUAGAUGUUCGGGGCCGCACGCGCGCUACACUGAUACGGACAGCGGGUACCCUUCCUGGCCCUAGCGGGUUGGGCAAUCCGUUGAAUCUGUGUCGUGCUUGGGAUUGUGAAUUGUAAUUGUGGCACAUGAACGAGGAAUUCCCAGUAAGCAUAAUUCAUCAGAUUGUGUUGAUUACGUCCCUGCCCUUUGUACACACCGCCCGUCGCUACUACCGAUUGGAUGGCUUAGUGAGACCAGCGGAACGGUAGGCGAGUCGCUCUUCGGGGUGGCAAGCUGGCUGUGAAGCCGGUCAAACUUGACUGUCUAGAGGAAGUAAAAGUCGUAACAAGGUAUUCGUAGGUGAACCUGCGGGAGGAUCA
rnacentral:rRNA from 1 species